rnacentral:rRNA from 1 species
GACAGAGGGUGCAAACGUUGUUCGGAAUUACUGAGCGUAAAGCGAGUGUAGGCGGUUUGAUAAGUCGGAUGUGAAAGCCCCGGGCUCAACCCGGGAAGUGCACUCGAUACUGUCAAGCUAGAGUAUCGGAGAGGUUGGUGGAAUUCUCGGUGUAGAGGUGAAAUUCGUAGAUAUCGAGAGGAACACCGGUGGCGAAGGCGGCCAACUGGACGAAUACUGACGCUGAGACUCGAAAGCGUGGGGAGCAAACAGG